CUACGGGAGGCAGCAGGCGCGAAAACUUUACAAUGCGGGAAACCGUGAUAAGGGGAUCUCGAGUGCCAGCAUAUAAUGUUGGCUGUCCAGAUGCCUAAAAAGCAUCUGUUAGCAAGGGCCGGGCAAGACCGGUGCCAGCCGCCGCGGUAACACCGGCGGCCCGAGUGGUAACCGCUAUUAUUGGGUCUAAAGGGUCUGUAGCCGGCCAGGUAAGUCCCUUGGGAAAUCUGGCAGCUCAACUGUCAGGCUGCUAGGGGAUACUGUUUGGCUUGGGACCGGGAGAGGUGAGAGGUACCUUGGGGGUAGGGGUGAAAUCUUGUGAUCCUCGAGGGACCACCAGUGGCGAAGGCGUCUCACCAGAACGGGUCCGACGGUAAGGGACGAAAGCUAGGGGCACGAACCGGAUUAGAAACCCCAGUAGUCC
rnacentral:rRNA from 1 species